GACGAACGCUGGCGGCGUGCUUAACACAUGCAAGUCGAACGGAAAGGCCCUGCUUGCAGGGUACUCGAGUGGCGAACGGGUGAGUAACACGUGGGUGAUCUGCCCUGCACUUCGGGAUAAGCCUGGGAAACUGGGUCUAAUACCGGAUAGGAGCCAUUUUUAGUGUGAUGGUUGGAAAGUUUUUUCGGUGUAGGAUGAGCUCGCGGCCUAUCAGCUUGUUGGUGGGGUAAUGGCCUACCAAGGCGGCGACGGGUAGCCGGCCUGAGAGGGUGGACGGCCACAUUGGGACUGAGAUACGGCCCAGACUCCGACGGGAGGCAGCAGGGGGGAAUAUUGCACAAUGGGCGCAAGCCUGAUGCAGCGACGCCGCGUGGGGGAGGACGGCCUUCGGGUUGUAAACUCCUUUCGCUAGGGACGAAGCUUUUUGUGACGGUACCUAGAGAAGAAGCACCGGCUAACUACGUG
rnacentral:rRNA from 1 species